rnacentral:rRNA from 1 species
GGGUUGUGAGGUUAAGCGACUAAGCGUACACGGUGGAUGCCCUGGCAGUCAGAGGCGAUGAAGGACGUGCUAAUCUGCGAUAAGCGUCGGUAAGGUGAUAUGAACCGUUAUAACCGGCGAUUUCCGAAUGGGGAAACCCAGUGUGAUUCGUCACACUAUCAUUAACUGAAUCCAUAGGUUAAUGAGGCGAACCGGGGGAACUGAAACAUCUAAGUACCCCGAGGAAAAGAAAUCAACCGAGAUUCCCCCAGUAGCGGCGAGCGAACGGGGAGGAGCCCAGAGCCUGAAUCAGUGUGUGUGUUAGUGGAAGCGUCUGGAAAGGCGCGCGAUACAGGGUGACAGCCCCGUACACAAAAAUGCACAUACUGUGAGCUCGAUGAGUAGGGCGGGACACGUGGUAUCCUGUCUGAAUAUGGGGGGACCAUCCUCCAAGGCUAAAUACUCCUGACUGACCGAUAGUGAACCAGUACCGUGAGGGAAAGGCGAAAAGAACCCCGGCGAGGGGAGUGAAAAAGAACCUGAAACCGUGUACGUACAAGCAGUGGGAGCCUCUUUAUGGGGUGACUGCGUACCUUUUGUAUAAUGGGUCAGCGACUUAUAUUCUGUAGCAAGGUUAACCGAAUAGGGGAGCCGAAGGGAAACCGAGUCUUAACUGGGCGUUAAGUUGCAGGGUAUAGACCCGAAACCCGGUGAUCUAGCCAUGGGCAGGUUGAAGGUUGGGUAACACUAACUGGAGGACCGAACCGACUAAUGUUGAAAAAUUAGCGGAUGACUUGUGGCUGGGGGUGAAAGGCCAAUCAAACCGGGAGAUAGCUGGUUCUCCCCGAAAGCUAUUUAGGUAGCGCCUCGUGAAUUCAUCUCCGGGGGUAGAGCACUGUUUCGGCAAGGGGGUCAUCCCGACUUACCAACCCGAUGCAAACUGCGAAUACCGGAGAAUGUUAUCACGGGAGACACACGGCGGGUGCUAACGUCCGUCGUGAAGAGGGAAACAACCCAGACCGCCAGCUAAGGUCCCAAAGUCAUGGUUAAGUGGGAAACGAUGUGGGAAGGCCCAGACAGCCAGGAUGUUGGCUUAGAAGCAGCCAUCAUUUAAAGAAAGCGUAAUAGCUCACUGGUCGAGUCGGCCUGCGCGGAAGAUGUAACGGGGCUAAACCAUGCACCGAAGCUGCGGCAGCGACACUAUGUGUUGUUGGGUAGGGGAGCGUUCUGUAAGCCUGCGAAGGUGUACUGUGAGGUAUGCUGGAGGUAUCAGAAGUGCGAAUGCUGACAUAAGUAACGAUAAAGCGGGUGAAAAGCCCGCUCGCCGGAAGACCAAGGGUUCCUGUCCAACGUUAAUCGGGGCAGGGUGAGUCGACCCCUAAGGCGAGGCCGAAAGGCGUAGUCGAUGGGAAACAGGUUAAUAUUCCUGUACUUGGUGUUACUGCGAAGGGGGGACGGAGAAGGCUAUGUUGGCCGGGCGACGGUUGUCCCGGUUUAAGCGUGUAGGCUGGUUUUCCAGGCAAAUCCGGAAAAUCAAGGCUGAGGCGUGAUGACGAGGCACUACGGUGCUGAAGCAACAAAUGCCCUGCUUCCAGGAAAAGCCUCUAAGCAUCAGGUAACAUCAAAUCGUACCCCAAACCGACACAGGUGGUCAGGUAGAGAAUACCAAGGCGCUUGAGAGAACUCGGGUGAAGGAACUAGGCAAAAUGGUGCCGUAACUUCGGGAGAAGGCACGCUGAUAUGUAGGUGAAGUCCCUCGCGGAUGGAGCUGAAAUCAGUCGAAGAUACCAGCUGGCUGCAACUGUUUAUUAAAAACACAGCACUGUGCAAACACGAAAGUGGACGUAUACGGUGUGACGCCUGCCCGGUGCCGGAAGGUUAAUUGAUGGGGUUAGCGCAAGCGAAGCUCUUGAUCGAAGCCCCGGUAAACGGCGGCCGUAACUAUAACGGUCCUAAGGUAGCGAAAUUCCUUGUCGGGUAAGUUCCGACCUGCACGAAUGGCGUAAUGAUGGCCAGGCUGUCUCCACCCGAGACUCAGUGAAAUUGAACUCGCUGUGAAGAUGCAGUGUACCCGCGGCAAGACGGAAAGACCCCGUGAACCUUUACUAUAGCUUGACACUGAACAUUGAGCCUUGAUGUGUAGGAUAGGUGGGAGGCUUUGAAGUGUGGACGCCAGUCUGCAUGGAGCCGACCUUGAAAUACCACCCUUUAAUGUUUGAUGUUCUAACGUUGGCCCGUAAUCCGGGUUGCGGACAGUGUCUGGUGGGUAGUUUGACUGGGGCGGUCUCCUCCUAAAGAGUAACGGAGGAGCACGAAGGUUGGCUAAUCCUGGUCGGACAUCAGGAGGUUAGUGCAAUGGCAUAAGCCAGCUUGACUGCGAGCGUGACGGCGCGAGCAGGUGCGAAAGCAGGUCAUAGUGAUCCGGUGGUUCUGAAUGGAAGGGCCAUCGCUCAACGGAUAAAAGGUACUCCGGGGAUAACAGGCUGAUACCGCCCAAGAGUUCAUAUCGACGGCGGUGUUUGGCACCUCGAUGUCGGCUCAUCACAUCCUGGGGCUGAAGUAGGUCCCAAGGGUAUGGCUGUUCGCCAUUUAAAGUGGUACGCGAGCUGGGUUUAGAACGUCGUGAGACAGUUCGGUCCCUAUCUGCCGUGGGCGCUGGAGAACUGAGGGGGGCUGCUCCUAGUACGAGAGGACCGGAGUGGACGCAUCACUGGUGUUCGGGUUGUCAUGCCAAUGGCACUGCCCGGUAGCUAAAUGCGGAAGAGAUAAGUGCUGAAAGCAUCUAAGCACGAAACUUGCCCCGAGAUGAGUUCUCCCUGACUCC